GGAUUAGAUACCCUGGUAGUCCACGCCCUAAACGAUGAAUACUCGCUGUUAGCGAUAUACAGUUAGCGGCUAAGCGAAAGCGUUAAGUAUUCCACCUGGGGAGUACGCCCGCAAGGGUGAAACUCAAAGGAAUUGACGGGGGCCCGCACAAGCGGAGGAGCAUGUGGUUUAAUUCGAUGAUACGCGAGGAACCUUACCCGGGCUUGAAAGUUAGUGAAUGAUCUAGAGAUAGAUCAGUGAGCAAUCACACGAAACUAGGUGCUGCAUGGCUGUCGUCAGCUCGUGCCG
rnacentral:rRNA from 1 species